AUUACGAACACAAAGGGAAAGAGGAGAGGUACCCGAUAUAGGUUCUCCAGGCCUUUUAGAAAACCUGGAGUUGUUCCUUUGGCCAUGUAUAUGCGAAUCUAUAAGAAAGGUGAUAUUGUGGACACCAAGGGAACGGUACUGUUCAAAAAGGAAUGCCCCACAAGUGUCACCAUGGCAAAACUGGAAGAGUCUACAGUGUUCCCCAGCAUGCUGUUGGCAUUGUAAACAAACAAGUUCAGGGCAACAUUCUUGCCAAGACAAUUAAUGUGCGUAUUGAGCACGUUAAGCACUCUAAGAGCCGAGAUAGCUUCCUGAAACACAUGAAUGAAAAUUAUCAGAAAAAGAAAGAAGCCAGAGAAAGAUACCUGGGUUCAACCGAAGCGCCAGCCUGCUCACUUUGUGAGAACCAGUGGGAAGGACCCUGAGCUGCUGGAACCUCUUCCUUAUGAAUUCAUGGCAUAA
rnacentral:lncRNA from 1 species